rnacentral:rRNA from 1 species
GGUUCGAUCAUGGCUCAGAUUGAACGCGGCAGGAUAAUAACACACCUUUACACAUGCAAGUCGGGUGACGGCAGCACGGACUUCGGUCUGGUGGCGAGUGGCGAACGGGUGAGUAAUGUAUCGGAACAGUGCCUAGUAGCGGGGGAUAACCCUGCGCGAAAGCGUAGCUAAUACACAUACGCCCCUUCGGGAAAGCGAGACCUUCGGGCCUCGCACUAUGAAGCGACACGUGAUAUCGGAUUAGCUAGUUGGUGGGGGUAACGGCUCACCAAGGCGACGAUCCGUAGCUGGUUUGAGAGGACGACCAGCCACACUGGGACUGAGACACGGCCCAGACUCCUGGGAGUAGCAGUGGGAAUUUUGGACAAUGGGGGGAACCUGAUCCAGCCAUCCCGCGUGUGCGAUGAAGGCCUUCGGGUUGUAAAGCACUUUUGGCAGGAAAGAAACGGCACGGGAUAAUACCCCGUGCAACUGACAGUACCUGCAGAAUAAGCACCGGCUAACUACGUGCCAACAGCCGCGGUAUGCGUAGGGUGCAAGCGUUAAUCGGGUACUGGGCGUAAAGCGUGCAGGCGGUUCGGAAAGAAAGAUGUGAAAUCCCAGAGCUUAACUUUGGAACUGCAUUUUUAACUACCGAGCUAGAGUGUGUCAGAGGGAGGUGGAAUUCCGCGUGUAGCAGUGAAAUGCGUAGAUAUGCGGAGGAACACCGAUGGCGAAGGCAGCCUCCUGGGAUAACACUGACGGCGCUCAUGCACGAAAGCGGGGAGCAAACAGGUCCGAUACCCUGGUAGUCCACGCCCUAAACGAUGUCAACUAGCUGUUGGGGCCUUCGGGCCUUGGUAGCGCAACUAACGCGUGAGACCGACCCGCCUGGGAGUACGGUCGCAAGAUUAAAACUCAAAGGAAUUGACGGGGACCCGCACAAGCAGGUGGAUGAUGUCGGAUUAAUUCGGUAACGCGAAAAACCGCUACCUACCCUUGACAUGUCUGGAAUCCCGAAGAGAUUUGGGAGUGCUCGCAAGAGAACCGGAACACAGGUGCUGCAUGGCUGUCGUCAGCUCGUGUCGUGAGAUGUUGGGUUAAGUCGCAACAGGCACCUUGUCAUUAGUUGCUACGAAGGGCACUCUAAUGAGACUGCCGGUGACAAACCGGAGGAAGGUGGGGAUGACGUCAAGUCCUCAUGGCCCUUAUGGGUAGGGCUUCACGUCAUACAAUGGUCGGGACAGGGGGUCGCCAACCCGCGAGGAGCCAAUCCCAGAAACCCGAUCGUAGUCCGGAUCGCAGUCUGCAACUCGACUGCGUGAAGUCAGGGUAUCGCUAGUAAUCGCGGAUCAGCAUGUCGCGGUGAAUACGUUCCCGGGUCUUGUACACACCGCCCGUCACACCAUGGGAAUUGGAGUUUUAAGUAGUUAGCUAACCGUAAGGAGGGCGAUUACCACGGUAGGAUUCAUGACUGGGGUGAAGUCGUACAAGGCCAA